CGAAACCUCGUAGCUCCACCCCGUUCCAUUUUGAAGGAAGUGCGCAUUUCCUCUCAAAUAGUUUUGAAAGUGGCAACACAGUUUCCGAGUGGUUUCGUUUGAGCAGGAUGUCUUUAUGACAGCACAGGUGGAGAGAGAGAGGAAAACGAGGAAGCAGAAGUAAGAGGAGAUGAUCCAUACACAGAGAGUGAGGAGGUUGAGGAUAGUGAGGAAGAAAAUGUCAGCGAGGAAGUUGAGAUGGAUGCAGAUCCAGAUUAUUUGACUGAAGGUGCACAAGGUGUUGGAGGGAGGAAGCGGAAAAAUGCAGAAACCUGGAAGAAAGCGUUGCAGAAAAAAAGAAGAAUGCUGGGACAGUCCUACAUUGGAAGCAAAAUGUCAGAAGAGGUAACACGGGAGAGCAGGGUGAUGGGACCUGGAUGCCAGUCGUCUUCCUGUCUUAAAUCGUCCAAGCAUCACUGCAGUGAAGUCACUGUUGAUAAUAGUUAAAACUGUAACUCUGAAACAUGGUUUGGUACAUUUGAAUAAAUAAUUGAUAACUUUGUUAGCAAUAAAUAGUUAAAGAUGGUUAAAAUUAACUUUAAAAUACAGUUUGAUGCACUUUUUUUAUCAUUAAUACGUUUUAUUGUAGCUGUUGUAGAUAUUUAAAUAAACGUCUAACACAUGGAAUAGGAAUGCACAUAAGUUGAUACUGUUACACUACAUAAUUGAUGCCUUUUAUAGAUGUUUUUGUGGCUGAACAAAAACUGAAUUAUCUUUGUUUGGUUGUUACUGUCAGAGCAGCAUCAACUGAAAUAACGAUGAACUACUUAUUUACAUUUUACAUGUUUUUAUUAUUGCUUAUGUCUCACACUAGUGUAACAUUUCUGAGUAUUUGGUUAAAAAUAUUUUAGAGAGUGUUCUUGUUGGUCUUGCAUUCAGUUAAGCCUCAUAGCUGUUUUGUACUUUCUCCAGUAGGCUGCAGUAUUGAGCCAGGUGUUCAUUAGAAAUUAGAAAUAAUCAUUCUGAGGGAUUCUCAGUGUCUUGCACUGCUUAGCUGAAUAAAUAAUUAGUUGUUUAAGUACAAUGUUAUUCUUGCUUAAGAAAUACUAAGACAACAAAUGCUACCGUAUGCUGAAGACGGAGACUCUGAAAAGGAUAAUGGUGCAGUGGAUGACAGUUUGUGCCAAUGUGUUUUCCCCCUUAAUUAUUUUUUCCACAUAAAUAAAAUUAAUAUAUGUGACGGUUUCAGAA